GGGCGGAUGCGCGCUACCAUGCAGUCGAGCGGAACGAUCCUAGCUUGCUAGGAGGCGUCGAGCGGCGGACGGGUGAGUAACGCGUGGGAAUCUACCGAGUAGUGGGGGACAACUUAGGGAAACUUAAGCUAAUACCGCAUACGCCCUACGGGGGAAAGAGGGGGAUCUUCGGACCUCUUGCUAUUUGAUGAGCCCGCGUAAGAUUAGCUAGAUGGUGGGGUAAUGGCCUACCAUGGCGACGAUCUUUAGCUGGUCUGAGAGGAUGAUCAGCCACACUGGGACUGAGACACGGCCCAGACUCCUACGGGAGGCAGCAGUGGGGAAUAUUGGACAAUGGGGGCAACCCUGAUCCAGCCAUGCCGCGUGUGUGAAGAAGGCCUUCGGGUUGUAAAGCACUUUCAGUUGUGAGGAAGGGGAGCAGAUUAAUACUCUGUUUCAUUGACGUUAACAACAGAAGAAGCACCGGCUAACUUCGUGCCAGCAGCCGCGGUAAUACGAGGGGUGCAAGCGUUAAUCGGAAUUACUGGGCGUAAAGCGCGCGUAGGCGGUUAUUUAAGCCAGAUGUGAAAUCCCCGGGCUUAACCUGGGAACUGCAUUUGGAACUGGAUGGCUAGAAUGCAGCAGAGGAUAGUGGAAUUUCCGGUGUAGCGGUGAAAUGCGUAGAGAUCGGAAGGAACAUCAGUGGCGAAGGCGACUGUCUGGGCUGACAUUGACGCUGAGGUGCGAAAGCGUGGGUAGCAAACAGGAUUAGAUACCCUGGUAGUCCACGCUGUAAACGAUGUCUACUAGCCGUUGGGAUCUUUAAGAUUUUAGUGGCGUAGCUAACGCGCUAAGUAGACCGCCUGGGGAGUAC
rnacentral:rRNA from 1 species